CCUACGGGAGGCAGCAGUGGGGAAUAUUGCACAAUGGGGGAAACCCUGAUGCAGCAACGCCGCGUGAGUGAAGGAGUAAUUCGUUAUGUAAAGCUCUAUCAGCGGGGAAGAAGAUGACGGUACCUGAGUCAGAAGCCCCGGCUAACUACGUGCCCGCAGCCGCGGGAAUACGUAGGGGGCCAGCGUUAUCCGGAUUUACUGGGUGUAAAGGGAGCGUAGACGGCAGUGCAAGUCUGGAGUGAAAGGCGGGGGCUCAACCCCCGGACUGCUCUGGAAACUGUACGGCUGGAGUGCAGGAGGGGUAAGUGGAAUUCCUAGUGUAGCGGUGAAAUGCGUAGAUAUUAGGAGGAACACCAGUGGCGAAGGCGGCUUACUGGACUGUAACUGGCGUUGAGGCUCGAAAGCGUGGGGAGCAAACAGGAUUAGAUACCCCAGUAGUC
rnacentral:rRNA from 1 species